rnacentral:misc_RNA from 1 species
AGAUGCCCGAGCUCACGUUUUCUAAUGACAAAAGAUCCAAUAAAGACCCAAAAAGAAUUAUCAUUAUUACAUCAACAUAGUGCUCACUGUAAGAGCGGUUUCAUCCUAUUUAAACAUCCUUUUUUAGAGGUUACUCAAGAGCUGGUCACAUAAUACCAUUUCAAAGAGAUCACUAUAAAUUUCUGCCUUUAAUCUUAUCUCUAUUAAUUAACUGAUACAAUGUUUGGACAAUUUGAGAAGUGCAGUUAAGUGUUCAAACAACUCAAAACACCAGCUGAAACCAAAACCCUAUAAAAUUGCAGUUAAAACUCAGUGGUCAUUUAUGGGUGGCUAUUA